GUGAAUGUUCUGCAGGCUACUAUUGUGACUGGGGCUCCAGCAGUCCGGAGCAGAGCCUCUGUCCUGCCGGUUUCUAUUGCCCCACAGGCAUACACCAGCCCCUGGCCUGCACUGCAGGCACUUACAGCUCCGUCAUGGGCAACAGUCACCGAGAAAAUUGUGAGCCAUGUCCAUUAGGCUACUACUGUCAGGGUGCGGUAUUUAUUCUGUCUACAAGAAAAUUGGUUUAAAACCAUCUCUGUGCUCUUAUAAAUCUAUUACAAUUGAUCCUAUUGCAUUACAAUGCAGGGGAAGCAGUAGCAGAGCCUCUUCCAUGUCCACCGGGGCAUUUCUGCCCCACAGGCACAUCACAGGGCACUCAGUUCCCCUGCCCUCCAGGAACAAUGCAGCCACAGUCUGGGACAGCCAGUAUAGAUGAAUGUCUGCAAUGUCCUGCAGGCAUGUUUUGUGCUCGCCAUGGUCUUUCAGAGCCUACAGGGCGCUGCCAGGAUGGAUUUCACUGCCCUUCGGGUGCCACAAGUCCCAACGGCACUGGAAAUGUGGUAUAUAUCAUUAGUUCAGUUUCUUAAAAAAGACACCAUGUGUUCACAAAGGGUUAAACUCAUUUACAGUGUGUGAUUUGCAGAUUGAAUCUACAGGCAACAGCAUGUGCCCGCCUGGCCAUUAUUGCCCAACUGGUAUCGGCUCUCCUCUCCCAUGCCCCGCUGGAACAUUCUCCAGCUCUCCAGGGUUGAGUGGGGCGGAGCAGUGUCAGCCAUGUCCUCCUGGGUACUUCUGUGAGCAGACUGCUAUGGUCUAUCCAUCAGAAGCAGCUCUCUGUGAUGCUGGAUAUGUGUGUAUCAAUGGCAGUCGUAGUGCUCGACCGGUAGAUGGACUGCAGGGUUAUAUUUGUCCAAGCGGACACAGUUGCCCCAUUGGUACUCCAUUGGAAGUGCCUUGUGAGCCUGGCACAUACAGCAGUGCUCCUGGUGCCACCCACUGUCUCUCAUGCCCAGCUGGCACUAUGUGUCCUUCCUCUGGCACACAGGAGCCAUCCCCAUGUCCCAUGGGUCAUUUUUGCCCUGUUGGCACUGCUGCAGCUGUACCCUGUCCUGUGGGCUCACUGGGACAGGUUACCAGAGCUCAAUCGGAGGCUGCCUGUGUGCCCUGCCCUACCGGCCUUUACUGCAGUUCACCUGGAACGUCACAACCACAGGGUCUGAUAUCAUCCCACACUUUUUUAUAAGAGCACAGGUUUUAGCCUGUGACUGUAUCAUAUGGACUAAUUGUUGUUUUGUAGGCCAGUGCCAGCAAGGUUAUUUCUGCCAAGGAGGGUCUCCAAAUCCUGCUCCUCUGAAUACAACUGGCUACCUCAGGAAUGGCCCCUGUCCGAAGGGUCACUUUUGCCCUUCUGGAACCCUUAUGCCUUUGCCUUGCCCAGCAGGCAGCAUUCGUAAUCUCACAGGGGGUUACUCCAUAGAAAGCUGUCUUCCCUGCCCAGCAGGACAUUACUGUGCUAGCGAGGGCCUGGAUGCUCCAACUGGACCCUGUGCUGCAGGCUUUUACUGCCCAGUAGACUUCUCCUCCACCACCCCACACGCCUUCCUCUGCCCCAAGGUCAGUUCUGCCUCCUUCACUCCCUUCUAUCGCUUUUUAAUCUGUGCCUAGCAACCUGACUGACAGGUUUUGCUCUCUCAGGGUCAUUCCUGUCCCUUGGGCUCAACCCUGGCCUUGCCCUGCCCCACGGGACAGUACCAGCCAAAUCCGGGCUCGGAUAACUGCAUCCCCUGCCGUCCAGGCUAUUACUGUGAGGAGGCAAUUAUCGGAGACCCCCGGCCUUGCCCGCCACACUCCUACUGCCCUGCAGGUAACCCAUGCUGCUGUAAUUCUCUAUACUGUGUCUGUGGUGUCAUUAGUACACGCACAUUGUCUGAUUCUGCUUGUAAUUGCAGCAACAAUGGUUCCUCAGCCCUGUCCUAAUGGCACAUACACCCCACUUGAGGUGGGGGGUUUGCAGGAGGAGAGAGAGUGUUUGCCGUGUCCACCAGGAAAGUUCUGCAAGUAUGUUUACAGACCUUAUAAGACUUUUUUUUCAAUCAUAGACACUUAUGACCUUGUUAUGACCUUAUUUUAUUAUUUAUUUGUAUGCUACUAUUCAGAUGU
ensembl:lncRNA